rnacentral:miRNA from 1 species
AAAGUAACAUCAUGUGCAACAGA